UCUCUUGUGCUCGGGCAUGUACUGUCGCCAGUGAGGUCUUUACCGAGGCACAGUCUUUUGCUGAUUGCAAAUUACACAUCCGAACACGUCUGUUGACUCCGGUCUUCAGCAAUUUUUGGCCCAUCCUUCU
rnacentral:snRNA from 1 species